rnacentral:rRNA from 1 species
UUUUACAGCCACACCAGCUGGGGAAGGCCAGAUCUCUUCUGAUCUCGGAAGCUAAGCAGAUUUGGGCCUGGUUAUUAUGUGGAUGGGAAUACCUGUUGUAAGCU